UUCACGUGUUUUAUACGCCGGCUUCGCGCCUGUUGACACGCGAGACCACUUUCGAGGCGGUAAUCUGAAGAAAGGGCACCUUCUUCAGAAGGCGAAACAUGUGAAAUGCGUUCGCGAAGAUGUUUUCACGGACGGGACGUCAAAGAUAAGUGCGCAGUGCCUUGCCCAAACGAGCACACGCACGUACAACGUAACUGUUCAGCUUCAGUCACCUAGACCACGUGCAAUUCUCGAAGCACAUUGUACUUGUAAGGGAGGUGUGGCUGGCCGUUGUAAACAUGUAGCCGCCGUUGUUACUGCCAUAAACAACCCCGAAGACGACUCCUGCACUAGUGUGCCCCAAGCGUGGGGCAGGCCUGGAAGUCAAGCGUCAGGCAGCUACGUCCGGCUUCCUUUCGAAGAGCUUUAUCCAAGUGGUUCCAGGAAAGGGCAUUACGUCUAACAAGCACAGAGUGCCACAGAGUCAGAACAAGGGUAGCAGACUUCGAAAAACUUGCUGAAGCACUGAAAACCACCAGGCCACUGAGAACAGCGGCCACAGCAUACGGCACGCAGAUGGAGGGAGUUGCUGCAAAGGAGUUCCAGAGGAAGUUCCCAACAAUAGUGUAUCAGGCUGGGCUCUUGGUGCACCCUGAACAAAGAUGGCUAUGUGCAAGCCCGGAUGGGGUAGUGCGGCUGGCUGAUGGCCUUUAUUUGCUUGAAAUCAAAUGCCCAUUUGGCCGGAAAGGACAGCCAAUCAUUGAUUGCAAAUCUGAAACAAGCUACGUUCAGU